AAGAGAGUUUUGAGAGAAAACCUAGAGAGAAGAAAGAAAGAACCAUCCGAAAACUCAUCGAACCACCGCUGAAAGUUGCCGCCAGCCACGAUCUAAUGACAAGGACUUCUUGGAAGGAAGAAGAAGAUGUUGGUAUUCGGAGUCCCGUUUUCCAUCACGAGAUCGAGAAAAUCGGCAAGAGGGAAUUCUCCACAAGAUUCAUGAAGGAAACCAGCCGAAAUUCUGGUCCGAAGGGGAAGAUCCGAGCCGAUUUCCAAGAACGUUGGAGAGAGAAAUUUUUUUGACAAGUCACGUGUCAAACCGGCCCAGUGAAGUACGAUUGUAGAAUCCAACCCGCACUGACACCCACGACUAGACUUCGUUUGGGUUCAUGGUGGCGCGUGAGGAUGCGUGGCAGCACGUGGGAGCGCGGACCUAAUUGGGGAAAAUCAGUAUUUUUUUAGACACUUUAC